rnacentral:rRNA from 1 species
GACGAACGCUGGCGGCGUGCUUAACACAUGCAAGUCGAACGGUGAAGCGCCUUCCUUUUGGUGGGUGUGGAUGAGUGGCGAACGGGUGAGUAACACGUGAGUAACCUGCCCCCUUCUUCUGGAUAACCGCAUGAAAGUGUGGCUAAUACGGGAUAUUCUGGGUCUGUCGCAUGAUGGGUCUGGGAAAGAUAUUGUUUCGGUGGGGGAUGGGCUCGCGGCCUAUCAGCUUGUUGGUGGGGUGAUGGCCUACCAAGGCGGUGACGGGUAGCCGGCCUGAGAGGGUGGACGGUCACACUGGGACUGAGACACGGCCCAGACUCCUACGGGAGGCAGCAGUGGGGAAUAGUGCACAAUGGGCGCAAGCCUGAUGCAGCGACGCCGCGUGAGGGAUGGAGGCCUUCGGGUUGUGAACCUCUUUCGCCAGUGAAGCAGGCCUGCCUCGUUUGUGGGUGGGUUGACGGUAGCUGGAUAAGAAGCGCCGGCUAACUACGUG